ACGGGUGAGUAAUACAUAGGUAACCUCCCCCCUAGUUGGGAAUAACCUUCCGAAAGGAGGGCUAAUACCGAAUGAGACCACAGUGACUUCGGUCACAGCGGUCAAAGAUGGCCUCUAUUUAUAAGCUAUCGCUUGGGGAUGGGCUUAUGCACCAUUAGCUAGUUGGUAGGGUAAUGGCCUACCAAGGCGACGAUGGUUAGCUGAUCUGAGAGGUUGAUCAGCCACACUGGAACUGAGACACGGUCCAGACUCCUACGGGAGGCAGCAGUAGGGAAUAUUGCGCAAUGGACGAAAGUCUGACGCAGCGACGCCACGUGGGUGAUGAAGGAUUUCGGUUCGUAAAGCCCUGUCGGAGGAGAAGAAAAACGUUGUGGCUAACAUCCACGACGACUGACGGUAUCCUCAAAGGAAGCACCGGCUAACUACGUGCCAGCAGCCGCGGUAAUACGUAGGGUGCAAGCGUUGUUCGGAAUUAUUGGGCGUAAAGCGCGUGUAGGCGGCUUACUAAGUCAGAUGUGAAAUCCCUGGGCUCAACCGAGGAAGUGCAUUUGAAACUAGUGAGCUGGAGAGUGGUAGAGGAAGGUGGA
rnacentral:rRNA from 1 species